AAAGAUCGAAUGGGGAGAUUCAUCGUCAGCGACAUUGGCUUCACGGUGGCAUGUGAUGCCUCGGGAUUUCGGUCCCGGGGUACGCGGUCAUCGCGUAUGUCUGGUGGCGUCGGCGUGCACUUCUCCCCUAGUAGAACGUCGCGACCCGUUGAGUGCCGGUCUAAGGCCCGGGUGGGUGCCUGUCGCGUCGCUUCGGCGUUCGCGGCAAACCCCCGGAUGCCAGACGCCGGCUGCUCGGCGGUACUCCCAUGGUAUCGGGCCGCAAAUUGAACUGCGUCGGGUCCGUCGCAAGCGCGAUCAGUGUUCCACGGAGGUGCGGACCUAGCGCCGUCCCCGUGCCUGGUCAGCUGUUAGCCGACGGUUUACUCCGACUGGCCAUUGAACGAAUCGAUUACCGGUCGGCGACGCUACUGCUUUGGGUAAUCUCAGGACCCGUCUUGAAACACGGACCAAGGAGUCUAACAUGUGCGCGAGUCAUUGGGACCGCAUGCCUAAAGGCGAAAUGAAAGUGAAGGUCGGUCUUAGCGCCGACCGAGGGAGGAUGAGCCGCGUCAAGAUGCGACUCCGCACUCCCGGGGCGUCUCGUUCUCAUU
rnacentral:rRNA from 2 species